rnacentral:rRNA from 1 species
CAGGGUUAUUGGCCCUUAGUAGCGGGCGAGUGAAGCGGCAAAAGCUCAAAUUUGAAAUCUGGCACCUUCGGUGUCCGAGUUGUAAUUUGAAGAUUGUAACCUUGGGGUUGGCUCUUGUCUAUGUUUCUUGGAACAGGACGUCACAGAGGGUGAGAAUCCCGUGCGAUGAGAUGCCCAAUCCUAUGUAAGGUGCUUUCGAAGAGUCGAGUUGUUUGGGAAUGCAGCUCUAAGUGGGUGGUAAAUUCCAUCUAAAGCUAAAUAUUGGCGAGAGACCGAUAGCGAACAAGUACAGUGAUGGAAAGAUGAAAAGAACUUUGAAAAGAGAGUGAAAAAGUACGUGAAAUUGUUGAAAGGGAAGGGUUUGAGAUCAGACUCGAUAUUUUGUGAGCCUUGCCUUCGUGGCGGGGUGACCCGCAGCUUAUCGGGCCAGCAUCGGUUUGGGCGGUAGGAUAAUGGCGUAGGAAUGUGACUUUGCUUCGGUGAAGUGUUAUAGCCUGCGUUGAUGCUGCCUGCCUAGACCGAGGACUGCGAUUUUAUCAAGGAUGCUGGCAUCAUGA